AACCAGCACCUCGAGUGGUCAGGAGGAUUAUUGGGCCUAAAGCAUCCGUAGCCGGCUCUGUUAGUUUUCGGUUAAAUCCAUGUGCUCAACAUAUGGGCUGCCGAAAAUACUGCAGAGCUAGGGAGUGGGAGAGGUAGACGGUACUCAGUAGGAAGGGGUAAAAUCCUUUGAUCUAUUGAUGACCACCUGUGGCGAAGGCGGUCUACCAGAACACGUUCGACGGUGAGGGAUGAAAGCUGGGGGAGCAAACCGG
rnacentral:rRNA from 1 species